ACCAACCUGGGAUGUACGAUAACUUCUGUUAUUUUGAACCUACACCUUUUCAAAGGGAUUCCUAUAUCGGCGGAGUGGAUGUCAGGCCUCCUUCUGAGUGGAAGGCAGAAGCUUCCCUGCGGUUACCCACCUAGCCACUGCUAGGACUCAAAGUGCAGGAGCCGGCACCCUGGGGGUU
rnacentral:other from 1 species